rnacentral:rRNA from 1 species
UACGAAGGGGGCUAGCGUUGUUCGGAAUUACUGGGCGUAAAGGGCUCGUAGGCGGCCAACUAAGUCAUACGUGAAAUCCCUCGGCUUAACCGGGGAACUGCGUCUGAUACUGGAUGGCUUGAGUUCGGGAGAGGGAUGCGGAAUUCCAGGUGUAGCGGUGAAAUGCGUAGAUAUGACUUAGAACACCGAUUGCGAAGGCAGCUAACUAAGCAGAUAUUGACGCUGAGGCACGAAAGCGUGGGGAGCAAACAGG